rnacentral:rRNA from 1 species
GAUGAACGCUGGCGGCGUGCCUAAUACAUGCAAGUCGAGCGAACAGACGAGGAGCUUGCUCCUCUGACGUUAGCGGCGGACGGGUGAGUAACACGUGGAUAACCUACCUAUAAGACUGGGAUAACUUCGGGAAACCGGAGCUAAUACCGGAUAAUAUAUUGAACCGCAUGGUUCAAUAGUGAAAGACGGUUUUGCUGUCACUUAUAGAUGGAUCCGCGCCGCAUUAGCUAGUUGGUAAGGUAACGGCUUACCAAGGCAACGAUGCGUAGCCGACCUGAGAGGGUGAUCGGCCACACGGGAACUGAGACACGGUCCAGGCUCCUACGGGAGGCAGCAGUAGGGAAUCUUCCGCAAUGGGCGAAAGCCUUACGGAGCAACGCCGCGUGAGUGAUAAAGGUCUUCGGAUCGUAAAACUCUGUUAUGAGGGAAGAACAAAUGUGUAAGUAACUAUGCACGUCUUGACGGUACCUAAUCAGAAAGCCACGGCUAACUACGUG